UACGGAAGGCAGCAGUGGGGAAUAUUGCACAAUGGGCGCAAGCCUGAUGCAGCCAUGCCGCGUGUAUGAAGAAGGCCCUCGGGUUGUAAAGUACUUUCAGUCGUGAGGAAGGUGUUAAGGUUAAUAACCUUAGCAAUUGACGUUAGCGACAGAAGAAGCACCGGCUAACUCCGUGCCAGCAGCCGCGGUAAUACGGAGGGUGCGAGCGUUAAUCGGAAUUACUGGGCGUAAAGGGCACGCAGGCGGUUAAUUAAGUUGGAUGUGAAAUCCCCGGGCUUAACCUGGGAAUGGCAUUCAAGACUGGUUAGCUAGAGUCUUGUAGAGGGGGUAGAAUUCCAUGUGUAGCGGUGAAAUGCGUAGAGAUGUGGAGGAAUACCGGUGGCGAAGGCGGCCCCUGGACAAAGACUGACGCUCAUGUGCGAAAGCGUGGGGAGCAAACAGGGAUUAGAUACC
rnacentral:rRNA from 1 species